rnacentral:rRNA from 1 species
GACAGAGGCCUCAAGCGUUAGGCGGAAUCACUGGGCUUAAAGCGUGUGUAGGCGGAUCGUUAAGUGUCUUGUGAAAUCCCACGGCUCACCCGUGGAACUGCUGGGCAUACUGGCGAUCUUGGGCCAACUAGGGGCAACUGGAACAAGCGGUGGAGCGGUGAAAUGCGUAGAUAUCGCUUGGAACGCCAAAGGUGAAAACAGGUUGCUGGGUUGUGCCGACGCUGAGACACGAAAGCCAGGGGAGCAAACGGG